GACGAACGCUGGCGGCGUGCUUAACACAUGCAAGUCGAACGGAAAGGCCCUGCUUGCAGGGUACUCGAGUGGCGAACGGGUGAGUAACACGUGGGUGAUCUGCCCUGCACUUCGGGAUAAGCCUGGUAAACUGGGUCUAAUACCGGAUAGGAGCCAUUUUUAGUGUGAUGGUUGGAAAGUUUUUUCGGUGUAGGAUGAGCUCGCGGCCUAUCAGCUUGUUGGUGGGGUAAUGGCCUACCAAGGCGGCGACGGGUAGCCGGCCUGAGAGGGUGGACGGCCACAUUGGGACUGAGAUACGGCCCAGACUCCUACGGGAGGCAGCAGUGGGGAAUAUUGCACAAUGGGCGCAAGCCUGAUGCAGCGACGCCGCGUGGGGGAGGACGGCCUUCGGGUUGUAAACUCCUUUCGCUAGGGACGAAGCUUUUUGUGACGGUACCUAGAUAAGAAGCACCGGCUAACUACGUG
rnacentral:rRNA from 1 species